GAGGAUUCGGUAUUGAUCGCUA
rnacentral:miRNA from 2 species